rnacentral:rRNA from 1 species
CUAGUUUUUGAAGUAUGGCCUGCCCGCUGACUUUUAGUUGAAGGGCCGCGGUAUUUUGACCGUGCAAAGGUAGCAUAAUCAUUAGUUCUUUAAUUGUGAUCUGGAAUGAAUGGCUUGACGAGAUGCGAGCUGUCUUAAAUUUGAAUGUUUUAUUGAAUUUGGUUUUUGAGUUAAAAUUCUUAGAUGUUUUUAUGGGACGAGAAGACCCUAUAGAGUUUGACAUGUUGGCUUUCUUGUUUAUUUGUCGUUUGUUUUGUUUUUGAUAAGUGGGCUUUAUGUUUUGUUGGGGUGAUGAGAGGAAUAUUUAACUCCUCUUGGUUUAGUGGUUAUAUUGAUAUAUAUUUAUUUGAUCCAUUUAUUUUGAUUAUAAGAUUAAAUUACC